rnacentral:snoRNA from 1 species
AAGACUAUACUUUCAGGGAUCAUUUCUAUAGUUUGUGACAUACUUUCUCAUGAGAACACAAGGCUCUGCUGGA